rnacentral:rRNA from 1 species
UAGGGAAUCUUCCGCAAUGGGCGAAAGCUUGACGGAGCAACGCCGCGUGAGUGAUGAAGGUCUUCGGAUCGUAAAACUCUGUUAUUAGGGAAGAACAAAUGUGUAAGUAACUAUGCACGUCUUGACGGUACCUAAUCAGAAAGCCACGGCUAACUACGUGCCAGCAGCCGCGGUAAUACGUAGGUGGCAAGCGUUAUCCGGAAUUAUUGGGCGUAAAGCGAGCGCAGGCGGUCAAUUAAGUCUGAUGUGAAAGCCCCCGGCUCAACCGGGGAGGGUCAUUGGAAACUGGUUGACUUGAGUGCAGAAGAGGAGAGUGGAAUUCCAUGUGUAGCGGUGAAAUGCGUAGAUAUAUGGAGGAACACCAGUGGCGAAGGCGACUCUCUGGUCUGUAACUGACGCUGAGGUUCGAAAGCGUGGGUAGCAAACAGG